rnacentral:rRNA from 1 species
GGGGGGCGGCGUGCUUUACAUGCAGUCGAACGAUGAUGCCUAGCUUGCUAGGUGGAUUAGUGGCGAACGGGUGAGUAACACGUGAGUAACCUGCCCCUGACUCUGGGAUAAGCCUGAGAAAUUGGGUCUAAUACUGGAUAUGAACAUUUGCCGCAUGGUGGGUGUUGGAAAGAUUUUUUGGUUGGGGAUGGACUCGCGGCCUAUCAGCUUGUUGGUGAGGUAGUGGCUCACCAAGGCGACGACGGGUAGCCGGCCUGAGAGGGUGACCGGCCACACUGGGACUGAGACACGGCCCAGACUCCUACGGGAGGCAGCAGUGGGGAAUAUUGCACAAUGGGCGAAAGCCUGAUGCAGCGACGCCGCGUGAGGGAUGACGGCCUUCGGGUUGUAAACCUCUUUCAGUAAGGAAGAAGCGAAAGUGACGGUACUUGCAGAAGAAGCGCCGGCUAACUACGUGCCAGCAGCCGCGGUAAUACGUAGGGCGCGAGCGUUAUCCGGAAUUAUUGGGCGUAAAGAGCUCGUAGGCGGUUUGUCGCGUCUGCCGUGAAAGUCCGGGGCUUAACUCCGGAUCUGCGGUGGGUACGGGCAGGCUAGAGUGCAGUAGGGGAGACUGGAAUUCCUGGUGUAGCGGUGAAAUGCGCAGAUAUCAGGAGGAACACCGAUGGCGAAGGCAGGUCUCUGGGCUGUAACUGACGCUGAGGAGCGAAAGCAUGGGUAGCGAACAGGAUUAGAUACCCUGGUAGUCCAUGCCGUAAACGUUGGGCACUAGGUGUGGGGGACAUUCCACGUUUUCCGCGCCG